GAUGAACGCUGGCGGCGUGCCUAAUACAUGCAAGUCGAGCGAACGGACGAGAAGCUUGCUUCUCUGAUGUUAGCGGCGGACGGGUGAGUAACACGUGGAUAACCUACCUAUAAGACUGGGAUAAUUUCGGGAAACCGGAGCUAAUACCGGAUAAUAUUUUGAACCGCAUGGUUCAAAAGUGAAAGACGGUCUUGCUGUCACUUAUAGAUGGAUCCGCGCUGCAUUAGCUAGUUGGUAAGGUAACGGCUUACCAAGGCAACGAUGCAUAGCCGACCUGAGAGGGUGAUCGGCCACACUGGAACUGAGACACGGUCCAGACUCCUACGGGAGGCAGCAGUAGGGAAUCUUCCGCAAUGGGCGAAAGCCUGACGGAGCAACGCCGCGUGAGUGAUGAAGGUCUUCGGAUCGUAAAACUCUGUUACUAGGGAAGAACAUAUGUGUAAGUAACUGUGCACAUCUUGACGGUACCUAAUCAGAAAGCCACGGCUAACUACGUG
rnacentral:rRNA from 1 species